rnacentral:lncRNA from 1 species
CGUCGAGGAGCAUCUCGAUCGACACUGCGAUCUGGGAGUAGCGCUUCGAGAGUACACACAGUAUCUUCUUCACGAUGCGAGUGUCGCUGAUGGUUUCCCCAAGCCCGCGCAAAUUCUCAGCCAGCGUGGUGAUACGCAGGCUGAAAUCGUCCACGAGUUUGCCGUCCUUGAAGUAGAUGUUCUCAAACUCCUGCUGCAGGCGCUGUGCAUGGGCUUCCUUGAUGCGGGUAGCCCCUUCGCGCAUGCUUUUCAC